rnacentral:rRNA from 1 species
UACGGAGGAUGCGAGCGUUAUCCGGAUUUAUUGGGUUUAAAGGGUGCGUAGGCGGACUGUCAAGUCAGCGGUAAAAUUGAGAGGCUCAACCUCUUCCCGCCGUUGAAACUGGUGGUCUUGAGUGGAUGAGAAGUACGCGGAAUGCGGGGUGUAGCGGUGAAAUGCAUAGAUAUCACGCAGAACUCCGAUUGCGAAGGCAGCGUACCGGCAUCCAACUGACGCUGAGGCACGAAAGCGUGGGGAUCAAACAGG